rnacentral:lncRNA from 1 species
UCUUCCCAAAUGGAGGCUAUGUUUUGAUCUAAAUAUAGUAUAUGUUCUUUCCAACAUAAUUUAGCUUUUAUUUUAUUCUCUUUUAUUAUGUUUCAUGGUUGACAAGUUUGGUAGGAUUCAGACAACAGAAAUGCCAAGUCAUAAACACAUAAUAACUUCUUUUCAAACUUCGUUUAUUGAAAAAUUAGCAAGUUAUCUUUUAUUGUUCCUUGGAGGAGACUGGGAUUGCUCAAAUCAUCCCCCUUUCUCAAGUUAUUCUCCUUGAAUUUCCUAAAAGCUGAGACUCUGAGCAUGAAUUGAAGUAAACAUCCUUAUUUCACGCAUUUACCUGCAUCAAAUUUUUUGCAUUUAUUUACGUGGUAGAGUGGCUAGACAUCCGUGCACAUCAUACAAAAAGGCAUUCUCAUUCUUAAGGAAAG